CAGCAGCCACGGUAAUACGAAGGGUGCAAGCGUUAAUCGGAAUUACUGGGCGUAGAGCGUGCGUAGGCGGUGAGUUAAGUCUGCUGUGAAAUCCCCGGGCUCAACCUGGGAAUGGCAGUGGAUACUGGCUCGCUAGAGUGUGUCAGAGGAUGGUGGAAUUCCCGGUGUAGCGGUGAAAUGCGUAGAGAUCGGGAGGAACAUCAGUGGCGAAGGCGGCCAUCUGGGACAACACUGACGCUGAGGCACGAAAGCGUGGGGAGCAAACAGGAUUAGAUACCCCCGUAGUCCCUGUCUCUUAUAC
rnacentral:rRNA from 1 species